GACGAACCGAGCGAACGUUGUUCGGAAUCACUGGGCUUAAAGGGCGCGUAGGCGGGCUCUCAAGUCCGGGGUGAAAUCCCACAGCUCAACUGUGGAACUGCCUCGGAUACUGGGGGCCUCGAGGGUGGUAGGGGUAUGCGGAACUAUCGGUGGAGCGGUGAAAUGCGUUGAUAUCGAUAGGAACUCCGGUGGCGAAGGCGGCAUACUGGACCACAUCUGACGCUGAGGCGCGAAAGCCAGGGGAGCAAACGGG
rnacentral:rRNA from 1 species